CAUCAGAAGCAUUAAUCCAACGAUACGAUGCAAUGUGCCUUGUCUUAGAUCACCGAUCAAGAUCCCACCGUGGCCUGUAGUCGCUGGCCUACCGAAGACUGAAUUGAAAAGACUUUGUCUGUCAUUUAUUUCCGAGAUUAAACGGAAAGAUAUAACUGGCAUCCGGUAUGCUAUGGGUAAAGAUAAUAAAAAGGAUCUCAAGUGGCAACCAUUUUCAUUGGAAGUACGGAGACUGGAGGUCAGAGAAAAUAUAGAUCCUGAGGACGCCGUGGGUGAGUUCCUCCAUGGGAUUGGUCGCCAGCUAAACAGCUCGGAAAAUAAAGAGCAAAUGUUUACAUCCGAUCAUCCAUAUGAGUUUCGUCUUUCCGCUUUAGAAGGCAAUGAAGAACUUAUGCC
rnacentral:sRNA from 1 species